rnacentral:rRNA from 1 species
UACGGAAGGCAGCAGUGGGGAAUAUUGCACAAUGGGCGCAAGCCUGAUGCAGCCAUGCCGCGUGUAUGAAGAAGGCCUUCGGGUUGUAAAGUACUUUCAGUCGUGAGGAAGGUGUUAAGGUUAAUAACCUUAGCAAUUGACGUUAGCGACAGAAGAAGCACCGGCUAACUCCGUGCCAGCAGCCGCGGUAAUACGGAGGGUGCGAGCGUUAAUCGGAAUUACUGGGCGUAAAGGGCACGCAGGCGGUUAAUUAAGUUGGAUGUGAAAUCCCCGGGCUUAACCUGGGAAUGGCAUUCAAGACUGGUUAGCUAGAGUCUUGUAGAGGGGGGUAGAAUUCCGAUGUGUAGCGGUGAAAUGCGUAGAGAUGUGGAGGAAUACCGGUGGCGAAGGCGGCCCCUGGACAAAGGCUGACGCUCAUGUGCGAAAGCGUGGGGAGCAAAC